AAGACUGACGCAAUUUGCAAAUGGGUUGGAUCUAUAGAAAUCCACGUGCCUCACCCCCUCCAUUCCCGGACCGGCGAUGCGGAAGCCUUAGCAAGGCGUUAAUUGAUUUACUGGUACCAGUAGAACCCCUAAGAAUCCGAACCAGCCCAGCGUCGUACUUUGCUUCUGCCUGUGACUCAGUGAGCCAUGACGGAGGAGAGACGGGACCCUGGAAACGCUCAAGUGGAGUCUGCUGAUAAAGGCGAAACAAGUUCAUGGCUUCUAAUCGAUUUGUUGCAAUUCUCAUCACGCGAUAAGGCCAUGUCCACGACCGAAACCAGAAUAGAAACCGAAACAAACACAAACCACCAGCAGCAACAGCAACAUCGGCAACAUCGCGGCAUCGGCACUGACAGAGCCGAAAACAGAAUUAUCUUGGCCCAGAUACCUGCCAGAAUGGACUGACAUUCGCUGUUAAUAAACAUAACCCCCAUAAAUUGGACAUACGCCAAAGGAAAUGCUUUCCAUAUAAGUACUUGACAACCUGAAGAGACCCAUUUGGAAAUCCCUGAACUUGAGCUGGGAGCUUAUAUUGUGGGUUUGGACAUGAGACAGCCCCAUGAUCGAUUGUUUUUCAUGGGCAGGGCCUAUGAAUUGCACUGGGAAUUACUACCCACUCGUAUUUAAAGCAUUCUUCCCCGUCUUGAGCACAGCACAUGAUCUUUUCCACAGAUAAGGAAUUGGGGCUUAGAUCAAUCGGUUCCGUUCCGUGAUUAUCGAUGUGUGGAGGAAAGUUUCGGCGUCCAUCAAAGAUGUACAUACCUAUUCAGAGUCAAGAGAGGAAUAAACCCAAUGACUUGCCAUCAUUGACACGCGCCAUCCGUAGUCAGUGUAGUGGCAUCAGAGAUUAGAUAGUCGAGUCUCCGAUUGGGAUGCACUGGAAAAUUUACGGUUACGGAAAGGGCUUCGGAUUCAUCGAUUGGGACAUGCGUAAAAAAAUGUGCUCAAAAUAAAAUUAUCAUUUCCAACUUAAAAUGUUAUCUUGUUUACGAUAUAGAUAUAAGUGCAUAAGCAAAAGUAA
rnacentral:sRNA from 1 species